GCGGGUUUGGGGGACAUGGCCUGGCAUGAUGUGGUUCGGGGGACAUGGCCUGGCAUGAUGCGGUUUGGGGGGCAUGGCCUGGCAUGAUGCGGGUUUGGGGGACAUGCCCUGGCAUGAUGCGAUUGGGGGGCAUGGCCUGGCAUGAUGCGGUUCGGGGGGCUGUGCCUGGCAUGAUGCGGUCCGGGGGACAUGGCCUGGCACAAUGCGAUUUUGGGGUGCAUGGCCUGGCAUGAUGCGGGUUUGGGGGACAUGGCCUGGCAUGAUGCGGGUUUGGGGGACAUGGCCUGGCAUGAUGCGGUUUUGGGGGCAUGGCCUUGCACAACGCGAUUUGGGGUGGAUGGCCUGGCAUGAUGUGAUUGGGGGGCACGGCCUGGCAUGAUGUGAUUGGGGGGCAUGGCCUGGCAUGAUGUGAUUGGGGGGCAUGGCCUGGCAUAAUGCGGGUUUGGGAGACAUGGCCUGGCAUGAUGUGGUUCGGGGGACAUGGCCUGGCAUGAUGCGAUUGGGGGGCAUGGCCUGGCAUGAUGCGGGUUUGGGGGACAUGGCCUGGCAUGAUGCGGUUCGGGGGACAUGGCCUGGCAUGAUGCGGUUUGGGGGACAUGGCCUGGCACAAUUUGGUUUGUGGGCUUGCAUGGACGGAUGCUCUUGUGGGGUUUCGUGGCAUAAUGCCGUUCGGAGGUUGCAUUGACGAAUUCGAUUUGGGACGUACGUGAGGCGCCUUAGCACGGUAUCGUGCACGGUAAGUCUGGGCCGCAAGCUUAGGGUUUUAACUGCUGUUCGCACUUAAAUGCAACCGUUAGUCGUUGGAAUCCGCAUGUUUAACCGUGUCAUCUUUACUUGUGCAGGGUCUCCUCUCCGCAGAGUUUGUGUUUGAAGCU
rnacentral:lncRNA from 1 species